rnacentral:rRNA from 1 species
AUUGAACGCUGGCGGCAUGCUUUACACAUGCAAGUCGAACGGCAGCGCGGGGGCAACCCUGGCGGCGAGUGGCGAACGGGUGAGUAAUGCAUCGGAACGUAUCCUGUAAUGGGGGAUAACGUAGCGAAAGUUACGCUAAUACCGCAUACGCUCGAGAGAGGAAAGUGGGGGAUCGCAAGACCUCACGUUAUAGGAGCGGCCGAUGUCCGAUUAGCUAGUUGGUGGGUAAAGCCUACCAAGGCGACGAUCGGUAGCUGGUCUGAGAGGAUGAUCAGCCACACUGGGACUGAGACACGGCCCAGACUCCUACGGGAGGCAGCAGUGGGGAAUUUUGGACAAUGGGCGAAAGCCUGAUCCAGCCAUGCCGACGUGCGGGAAG